UAAAAAAAAAAAAAAAAAAAAACUUCUAAGAAUGUGAUACAUCAGCGAUGGAUCUGGGAAAUUAUGGGAAAUGUCGAUGAUAAGGAUUAACAACUAUUUCCGUUUUAUACAAGGAAGACAAAAAUUGAGGACUUGCAAAAUGAGCAAUGAAUUCAAAAGACCAUUCAGAGCAAAUACGAGUGACCAAUAAGCAUAAUCGAAGUUGUUCAAAAACACUGGUAGUGAAGAAAUUAUCAAAGUCCCAGUGAAACUGGCACAAUUUAAAAAUCUACACCACCUAUGGCUGGGGCCCGGGGGUGCUGUGGGGAGAAGGGUGCCUCAGACAUGGCUGGAAAGGUGCAUGAUGACAGCCUUUAGGGGAAAGACAUGGACAUGGCUCUGUAAUUUUGAAACAUUCUUUGACCUAGAAAUCUCACCCUUUGGAAUUUAUCCCAUGGAAGCAAAUCCUCUAGUAUACAAAGGAUGGUUAUUGUUAAUAAUGGCAAAAAAUCGACUGCUCAUGGAUGAUGGAAAGAUAGAUAAUUUAUGGUAGAGCUAAAUCAAUAAAAUUUAGGAGUCAUUAGAAUGAAAAAGAACUAGAGUAGUUAAAUAGUAGAAAUCUCUGUGAAGUAUUACUGAAGGAGAAAAUCAAGGUGCAGAGAAGUCUGUAUAAAAUGAGCACAUUUGGGUAAAGCAAUAGCAAUUGUUUGAAUAUGCUUGAAUACCUGUUUGUGUUUAUGUGAGUGUGUAAAUGAGCAGACGAAGAUACAUUUGUGUCUGUGUGUGCUUGUAUAAGCAAGGGUAAGAGAGACUACUUACCACAUUGUUAACCUCAAUUUCCUUGGAUUCACUUCUGGAAAAGGACUGGGGGGGAGGAGAGCUAGAACAUGCAGGAAGAGUGGACUUAGAAAGCACGGGUGAUAUGUGUUUCCACUUUAGUAGUGUUAUAUAUGAGUCAGUCUAGAUAGUGUACACAGUAAUUGUUCUCAUCUAUUUAAAUGCUUUAUGUGUAAAUAUGAGUUCAAUCUUAGAAGACCCAAAAAGGUAGUGUUAGUGUCAUACCUAAUGACCUUCAGGGAAUCAGCAAUUUACAGAGCACUGUGGGUAGAGUAUGACACAAUUUCCGUUAAAGCAAACGAACCAGGGGAUCUACUUGUGAACCUGUGACUGUGUGUAUGUGUCCCAGCUGAGAAAUGUAGGGAAAGAUACACAUGUGUCUAUUAACUUUGGACACCUUGGGGGUGCAGGACCAAAUUACAUAUGAGGGUGGGACCAUGAUUGUAACUUUUUCAUUAUACAAAUCUGUACCCUUAGAGGUGUUAUACAAAAGACUUUUAGAGCUUUGAAAGUUGAUAAACAUCAUCAUAGAUACAUUAUUUUAAAAACAUUUUGUUGGAUUUUUUUUGAACAGGGGGAAAAUAUCUUUAACAACAGACACAAAGAUUUUAAUCACUGGAAGAAGAGCACACCACAGACUGCUCAACAGUCAGAUCCAGCAGAUUUCACGCUUGUUCUUGGAGACAAUGAGCUCUUCUGGUCUCUACACCUGGAAAUGACCAGCGAGAAUUUUGUAAGGGUCCAUGAAGUUACUCCUCAAACGUUUCUUGCAGGUACAUGUCUACAGAUAAAGGAAGAAGGCUGGACACCACAUGCAGUUCACUAGUCAAAGAAUUGAAGAAAAAGGUCGACUCAGAGGAAAGAAGCAAACAGAGGGCAGGCUUCUAAACCCAGAGAGAACAGCAAGAACACAGGUGAUCAGAGGUGAGGGUGGGAAGGGGCAGAUUCAGGCCCAGACUAAGUAGUGGACAGAAAAGCCCAAAUCUCAGCCAUAGCAUCAGGUCCCAGGUCUGGACAUGACAGGGACGUAGCCAUCUCCCUGGAAGAUGAGACCUCUACUGUCACAGGGAAGCCUUCGGGGGCACAGGAAGGGAGGGCAGGACCUCCAGAAUGAGCACCUCCAACCACAGGCUGUCCUGUGUGGAUUUCUCAGAGUGACAGAGACAGCUCCUGAAUAGAACAGCGUCAGAGAUAGAGGGCAGUGAAGGCUUUUGGGACAGGUGAAUUUGGCAGUCUCCUAAGGAUCCAAAAGGAAAAUCAGAGAUUCUCAAAGGUAUCAGAGUGGGAGAGGUUGGCAUUCCCAGGUUGGGGAGAAGCUGGUUGGGGAGGUACUGCUUUCUGAAAUCUUUUCAUCAAACUCUCUUCUCUUCUUCAACUAUCUUCUCAGUUGACGUCAUCUAUGCUCAGUCCUGAAAAGGGUCUAGAAUGCACAAGGGUGGGUUAUUCGGUGUGGCAAGGUGGGGAGGAGGUAGUGGCAGCAUAUCCGGGAAAGAGAAUCUUCUAGAGGCACAUGAGCUACCUAGUGAACUGCACAUGGUGUCCAUUCUCCUUCAUUUAGCUGUAGAUGUGUGUUUGUAAGAGGUGAUUGACUUCCCCAAAUUAUUUUUGCUCAUUUCUAGUUACAGAUACCAGAAGAGCACAUUGGCUCCAGGAACAUGCAAGAAAUCCACUGAUUGUGAUUAUUACUGUCUGUGGGGGAAAAUAUCUUUAACAACAGACACAAAGAUUUUAAUCACUGGAAGAAGAGCACACCACAGACUGCUCAACAGUCAGAUCCAGCAGAUUUCACGCUUGUUCUUGGAGACAAUGAGCUCUUCUGGUCUCUACACCUGGAAAUGACCAGCGAGAAUUUUGUAAGGGUCCAUGAAGUUACUCCUCAAACGUUUCUUGCAGGUACAUGUCUACAGAUAAAGGAAGAAGGCUGGACACCACAUGCAGUUCACUAGUCAAAGAAUUGAAGAAAAAGGUCGACUCAGAGGAAAGAAGCAAACAGAGGGCAGGCUUCUAAACCCAGAGAGAACAGCAAGAACACAGUUACAGAUACCAGAAGAGCACAUUGGCUCCAGGAACAUGCAAGAAAUCCACUGAUUGUGAUUAUUACUGUCUGUGGUAUGCUCUCUUUUCAGUGAUUAAAAUCUUUGUCUGUCACAGAGAAUUUUCACCUAUUUAAAAAUAUAUGUCUAUGUCACUUACUGAUUUCCAAAGCUAUGAAAUUCUUUUUCAUUACAUGUUUAAGAAUACAAAUUUGUAUAAUGAAAAAUUACAUGCAGAGUCCCACCCUCAUGUAUAUAUUGCUCCUGCUCCCCCGAGGUAUCCAACGUUAAUAGACACAUGUGUACCCUUCCCUAGGUUUCUCUGCUGGGACAUGUAUACACAGUCACAGGUACACAAGUAGAUCUGCUGGGGUGUUUGCUUUUAUGGAAACUUGGUCACACUCUACCCACAUUGCUCUUGCCCCUUCUUUCACUUGACAUUCUAUCUUGAUUCUCUGUAAGUCAUUAGAUAUGGCACUAACUCUACAUUUUUAUGUCUUCUAAGUUACACACAUAAAUUAAAUAGAUAAUAACAAUUAUAGUACACUUUAUCUAGACUUAGACAUGUUGUUAGGUGCUAUCGAGUUGGCUCUGACUCACAGCGACCCUAUGCACAACACAACAAAACACUGCCUGGUCCUGGUUGCUAUAUUUGAGCCCACUCUUGUAGCUACUGUCAGUCAAUCUCAUUGAGGGUCUUCCUCUUAUUCGCUGGACCUCUGCUUUACCAAGCAUGGUGUCCUUCUCCAGGGACUGGUCCCUUCUGAUAACAUGUCUAAAGCCAUCCUUGCUUCUAAGGAACAUUCCAGCUUCUUUCAAGACAGAUUUGUUCGUCUCAUACGUAACACUACUAAAAUGGAAACAUUUUAUCACCUAAGCUUUUUAAGUCCACUCUUCCUGCAUUUUCCAGCUCUCCUCCCCCAUUCUUUCCCACGAGUGAAGCCAAGGUAAUUCAUUUCGACCAUGUGGUAAGUAGUCUGUCUUAUCCUUACUUAAAUAAGCACACACAGACAUACAUGCACCCUCGUCUGUUCAUUUAUACACACACAUAUAUGUGAACAGGUAUUCAAGCGUAUUCAAACAAUUGCUAUUGUUUUACACAAAUGUGCUCGUUUUUUAUAUACUUCUCUGCACCUUAAUUUUUUCAGUAAACUUUAAUAACACUUCACAGAGAUUUCUCCUACUUAACUACGACAGCUCUUUUUCAUUCUAAUGACUCCCUAUGUUAUUGAUGAUGUAGUUUUACCAUACAUUCUCUAUCAUUCCACCACCAACGGACAGUCAAUGUUUUGUCAUUGUUAAUAAUAAACAGCCUUUGUAUAGUAUAGGAUUCGAUUCUGUGGAGUAGACUCCACGGAGUGAGAUUUCCAGUUCAAAGAAUGUUAAAAGUACAGGGCCAUGGCCAUGUCUUUCCCCUAGAGGCUGUCAUAAAGCACCCUUCCAGCCAUGUCUCAGGGUUUCAUUCUCCCCACAGCCCAGCCAGCUAUAGGUGGUGUUGCUUUUUAAAUUGGGCCAGUUUCACUGACACCUUAAUAUUUUUUUAACUACCUGUGUUUUUGAGCAACUUGGAUUAUGUAUAUUGGGCAUGUGGAUUUGCUCUGAAUGAUCUGUUUGAAUUCACUGCUCAUUUUUCAAGUACUUAACCUUUAUCCUUCUGUGUAAAAUGUAAAUUUUUAUUAAUCCUUAUCUACUUUCACAUAAUUUUCCAAACCUAUGAUUUGUGUAUCAUAUUUUUGCAAGUUUUGUCCCCCAGAUCAGUUGAGUCAGCACCAUUUAUUAAAUAAAUACAAUUUUCACACCACCUUUGUAUGAAUGGUUAUUGUGAUUUCUUAGUAGAUUUUCUAUUGCAAUUGUCUACUUGUCAGUUUCUAUGCUAUGUAAUAUUGAUUUGUUCUGCUACUUGAUUGGGUAGACAUCUGUUACUAUUCUGCUAUUUCAUGUUUUUCUUGUCUAUUCUUUGGUAGUGCAGCCCUGCUGUUGCAAUGGCUAAGUGCUUGACUGCUAAAUGAAAGAAAGUUUGGCAGGUCGAACCCAUCCACUGGCUCUGAGGGAGAAAGACCUGGCGGUCUGCUCCCGUAAAGAUUACAGCCUAUAAAAGCCUAUUGGGCAGUCAAAUGGGAGGGCUAUGAGUCAAAAAUCUUGUCCAAGGCUCCAAACGACAACAUUCUUUGUUAUCUAUUGUACUAUUUGUAGCUUACGAUUAGUGUAUACAAUUAAAAAACAACUACCUGAAUAUUCUAACUGGAAAUGCAUUCCAUUUAUGUAUUAGUUUUGGGACCUCCAUUUAAUUAACAAGACUUCCCAUUUGGAAAUAUGGCAUAUUUUAUGCACAUAUUCAGGUUCCAUUUUAUUUACCUUAAUACAUUAGUUUUCUUUGUAUAGGUCCUUUGCUGCUCCAGUCAAAACAAUGUUUUCCUAAAUAUUUUAUAGUUUUGGACACAGUUUGCCACUGUCAAGUACUAGGGGAAAGAGAACGAUCAGCCCUUCCCACCCUUGCCAAUUUCAGUCCCUUAUGUCCACAUGGGAGAGAAACCAUUGAUUUUGAAGUACUUGUCUUUUAUUCGGGUAUGCAAUUAUAUCAUCAUUAUUUUGAAAAUCUGUUUUUGUACUUAUA